GCCCGCCUCCGACUUCCUCUUCCUCUUCCUCUCACCAGAAAGCUCCGCUCGGGACCCCGCCCCGACGGCUUACCUCAGGAGGGCCACUUCUGCGCAGGCGCAUUAUCCUGGCGUGCCAAGGCAGAGUGGAGGCCUGGUCCAAUGGGCGGGGCCGAGAGGCUGGGUAGAGUAUUUCUGGAGAAUAUAUACAUUUAUGUGCAUCAAUGUGUACGGGUGCUGGAGGAGACAAGAGGAAGCAUAAAAUCUCAGAGAGCUGGAGUUACAGACAGCUGAGGAAAUCUUCAACAUAUAGCUGAGACAACCGUGUCAUUAUUUUUUUAAUUGCACACUUAUGUGCGUGUGUACAGAUGCGUUGAUGUGGGCUUGAGUAGGUUACAGCACACAUGCAGAAGUCAGCCGACAACUUGUGGGGCGAGUUCUCCAGCUGGAUCUGUGUCCUGACCAGCAAGUUGUUUAACCCUUCAAAUUUUGCAGCAAAACGAUGCUGUUUGGGGAGUAUGUACACACUUGCUACCAUUAGAUAAAGACUUAUCACAAAGAAAACCUCUGAAUAGUUAAAAGCAGCUUACCUCGUUACUGUCUUUAAUUCUGAUGAUUGAGAAUAAAAGUCUAUAUGCCCAA